AUUGAACGCUGGCGGCAGGCCUAACACAUGCAAGUCGAGCGUAUGAAGGGAUCUUUCUCCUGUAUUCUGCUGCCGACGGGUGUGUAAUUCCUACUUAUCUGCCUUGUAUUUGUGGAUAACUUCCGUUAACGGUCCCUAAUCCCCCAUACGUCCUUAUUUUGAAACUGGUGGUUCUUCGUUCCUCACGCUUUCAGAUGACCCUAGGUCGUAUUAGCUAUUUGGUUGGGUAAAGGCCUACCAAGGCGACGAUCCGUAACUGGUCUGAGAGGAUGAUCAGUCACAAUGGAAAUGAGACAAGGUCCAGAAUACUACGGGAGGCAGCAGUGGGGAAUAUUGGACAAUGGGCGAAAGCCUGAUCAAGCAAUGCCGCGUGUGUGAAGAAGGUAUUAGGAUUGUAAAGCACUUUAAGUAGGGAGGAAGGGAAGUAAGAUAAUAGCUUGAUGUUUUGACGUUACCAAAAGAAUAAGCAACGGCUAACUACGUG
rnacentral:rRNA from 1 species